ACUCAAAUGAAUUGACGGGGGCCCGCACAAGCGGUGGAACAUGUGGUUUAAUUCGACACUACGCGAGGAACCUUACCUAGGUUUGACAUGCUUUUGACCGCUGUAGAAAUACAGCUUUCCGGGCUUCGGUUCGGACAAUUGCACAGGUGCUGCAUGGCUGUCGUCAGCUCGUGUCGUGAGAUGUUGGGUUAAGUCCUCUAACGAGCGCAACCCCUGCUGUCAGUUGCUACUUGCGUGAGCAAGGCACUCUGACAAGACUGCCUGGGAAACCAGGAGGAAGGUGGGGAUGACGUCAAGUCCUCAUGGCCUUUAUACCUAGGGCCACACACGUGUUACAAUGGUCGGUACAAAGAGUUGCGAGUUCGUAAGAACAAGCCAAUCUCCUAAAGCCGAUCUAAGUUCAGAUUGAGGUCUGCAACUCGACCUCAUGAAGUUGAAAUCGCUAGUAAUCGCGUAUCAGAACGACGCGGUGAAUACGUUCUCGGGCCUUGUACACACCGCCCGU
rnacentral:rRNA from 1 species